GACGAACGCUGGCGGCGUGCCUAAUACAUGCAAGUAGAACGCACAGUUUAUACCGUAGCUUGCUACACCAUAGACUGUGAGUUGCGAACGGGUGAGUAACGCGUAGGUAACCUGCCUGGUAGCGGGGGAUAACUAUUGGAAACGAUAGCUAAUACCGCAUAAUAUUAAUUAUUGCAUGAUAAUUGAUUGAAAGGUGCAAAUGCAUCACUACCAGAUGGACCUGCGUUGUAUUAGCUAGUAGGUGAGGUAACGGCUCACCUAGGCGACGAUACAUAGCCGACCUGAGAGGGUGAUCGGCCACACUGGGACUGAGACACGGCCCAGACUCCUACGGGAGGCAGCAGUAGGGAAUCUUCGGCAAUGGACGAAAGUCUGACCGAGCAACGCCGCGUGAGUGAAGAAGGUUUUCGGAUCGUAAAGCUCUGUUGUAAGAGAAGAACGGGUGUGAGAGUGGAAAGUUCACACUGUGACGGUAUCUUACCAGAAAGGGACGGCUAACUACGUGCCAGCAGCCGCGGUAAUACGUAGGUCCCGAGCGUUGUCCGGAUUUAUUGGGCGUAAAGCGAGCGCAGGCGGUUAGAUAAGUCUGAAGUUAAAGGCUGUGGCUUAACCAUAGUACGCUUUGGAAACUGUUUAACUUGAGUGCAGAAGGGGAGAGUGGAAUUCCAUGUGUAGCGGUGAAAAUGCGUAGAUAUAUGGAGGAACACCGGUGGCGAAAGCGGCUCUCUGGUCUGUAACUGACGCUGAGGCUCGAAAGCGUGGGGGAGCAACAGG
rnacentral:rRNA from 1 species